GGAGUUGUAGCUCAGUGGUUAAGGCUCUGAGCUAGUAAUCAGAAGGUUGUGAGUUCAUAUCUGAGCAGAUCAA